CCUACGGGAGGCAGCAGUGAGGAAUAUUGGUCAAUGGGCGCAAGCCUGAACCAGCCAUCCCGCGUGCAGGAUGAAGGCCCUAUGGGUCGUAAACUGCUUUUAUACGCCAAGAAAAAACACCACGAGUGGUGGACUGACGGUAGUGUAUGAAUAAGCAUCGGCUAACUCCGUGCCAGCAGCCGCGGUAAUACGGAGGAUGCAAGCGUUAUCCGGAUUCAUUGGGUUUAAAGGGUGCGUAGGCGGCUUUUUAAGUCAGUGGUGAAAUCUUGCCGCUUAACGGUAAAAUUGCCAUUGAUACUGAAAAGCUUGAGUACAUUUGAGGUAAGCGGAAUGUGUAGUGUAGCGGUGAAAUGCUUAGAUAUUACACAGAACACCAAUUGCGAAGGCAGCUUACUAAACUGUUACUGACGCUGAUGCACGAAAGCGUGGGGAGCGAACAGGAUUAGAUACCCUGGUAGUCCACGCCGUAAACGAUGCUCACUCGCUGUUUGCGAUACACAGCAAGCGGCCAAGCGAAGGCAUUAAGUGAGCCACCUGGGGAGUACGAUCGCAAGGUUGAAACUCAAAGGAAUUGACGG
rnacentral:rRNA from 1 species